rnacentral:rRNA from 1 species
AUUGAACGCUGGCGGCAGGCCUAACACAUGCAAGUCGAGCGGAAGAAGGGCUCCUGCUCCUUGAUUGCGCGGCGCACGUGCGUGAAAUGUCUAGGAACCUGCUUGGUAUGGGGGGAUAACGUCCGGAAACGGGCGCUAUUACCCCUCAUAUCCUGAGGGGGAACGAGUGGGAUCUUCGACCCCGACGCAUUGAGAUGAGCACAGGUCGGAUUAGCUAGUUGGUGGGGUAACGGCUCACCAAGUCGACGAUCCGUAACUGUUCUGAGAGGAUGAUCAGCCACACUAGAACUGAGACACGGUCCAGACUCCUACGGGAGGCAGCAGUGGGGAAUGUUGGACAAUGGGCGGAAGCCUGAUCCAGCCAUGCCGCGUGUGUGAAGAAGGUCUUCGGAUUGUAAAGCACAUUAAGUUGGGAAGAAGGGCAGUAAGUUAAUACCUUGCUGUUUUGACGUUACCGUAAGAAUAAGCACCGGCUAACUUCGUG